rnacentral:rRNA from 1 species
CAAGUCGCACGAGAAAGUGGAGCAAUCCAUGAGUAAAGUGGCGUACGGGUGAGUAACACGUGACUAACCUACCUUCGAGUGGGGAAUAACUUCGGGAAACCGAGGCUAAUACCGCAUAACAUCUUUUGGUUGAGAUACCGAUUGAUCAAACCAGUAAUGGGCUUGAAGAGGGGGUCGCGGCUGAUUAGCUAGUUGGUGGGGUAACGGCCCACCAAGGCGAUGAUCAGUAGCCGGCCUGAGAGGGCGCACGGCCACACUGGAACUGAAACACGGUCCAGACUCCUACGGGAGGCAGCAGUGGGGAAUUUUGCGCAAUGGGGGAAACCCUGACGCAGCAACGCCGCGUGGAGGAUGAAGUCCCUUGGGACGUAAACUCCUUUCGAUCGGGACGAUUAUGACGGUACCGGAAGAAGAAGCCCCGGCUAACUUCGUGCCAGCAGCCGCGGUAAUACGAGGGGGGCAAGCGUUGUUCGGAAUUAUUGGGCGUAAAGGGCGCGUAGGCGGUGCGGUAAGUCUGAUGUGAAAUCUCCGGGCUCAACUCGGAGUCUGCAUCAGAAACUGCCGUGCUCGAGUGUGGGAGAGGUGAGUGGAAUUCCCGGUGUAGCGGUGAAAUGCGUACAUAUCGGGAGGAACACCUGUGGCGAAAGCGGCUCACUGGACCACAACUGACGCUGA